GCGCAGCGUUGUUUCGACAUUUUUUUUUAGCUAAACUAUUUAUUCAGUGACGUCCGGACAAUUUUUUCUUUCCAUCAGGACACAUUCAAUUAAAAAUUCUCAAAAUAUAGCCAAAUUUAACCAUUUGGAGACGUGUAGCAUAAUCUAUAAAAGUUAGAUUUUUCUCUCCGUGUAGGACAGGUGUACGGAAAAAUCGCCUUUUUGUACGUCAGAGUGGGGAUGAGUUCGAUCUUUAGAAAUGCGGUAUAUGAAUUUUCGUUAGUAUACAAAUGCCAGUCUUGAAAGAUAUAGAGGCAAAAUAAAAUUAUUAAAACGCACUUGUUUCUACUUUGCGGUUUUUGAAGCAUAAUAAUUUACAUAAAUCAUCAAAAAAUUGUUAUUAAAAGAAUGCACAAAAAAAUGAAUGGAAUCAAUUGCAUUGUUACAUUGAUAACUUUUAUACAAAUAUUCCAAUAUCACAUUAUUGAUGGCAUAUUAGAAACUGAAACACAAAUUGACAGAAAAUAUUUACUUGAAGUAAAAUGGAGUUUAAAUUAUGAAAGAGAAACAACAGCGCUACAAGAACUACUAUUUCAAAAUCCUCCAAAAUCAUUUACAUUCAAUUUAAAAAAUGAAGAUUAUCCAAAAAAUUUGCGCAUUCAUUUGAAAUGUAUGAAAAAUCUUGACAGCGACAGAUAUAUUGUAGUAUCUGUUGAAAGUGACGAUGAUGAACAGAAUAAAAAUAAAAUUUUGAAUAAAA